AAACAUGUCUUUUUGAGGUAAUUAAAAAGUCUAACCUGCCCACUGAAUUUUUAAAUGGCCGCAGUAUCCUAACUGUGCAAAGGUAGCAUAAUCAUUAGUCUUUUAAUUGAAGGCUGGAAUGAAUGGUUGGACGAGGUAUUAACUGUUUCAAAUAAAUUUUUUAUAGAAUUUUAUUUUUUAGUCAAAAAGCUAAAAUUUAAUUAAAAGACGAGAAGACCCUAUAAAUCUUUACUUAAAAUUAUAUUUUAAUUAUAAAGAUAAAUUUUAUUAUAAUAAAAUUUUAAGUUUUAUUGGGGUGAUAUUAAAAUUUAAUAAACUUUUAAUUUUUUAAAACAUAAAUUAAUGAAUAGUUGAUCCAUUAAUAAUGAUUAAAAAUUUAAGUUACUUUAGGGAUAACAGCGUAAUUUUUUUGGAGAGU
rnacentral:rRNA from 1 species